GGAAGGCUGGCAGAGCGGCCGAAUGCACUUGUUUCGAAAACAAGCGGGUGUAACAGCCCCGUAGGUUCGAAUCCUACGCCUUCCG
rnacentral:tRNA from 1 species